rnacentral:rRNA from 1 species
UACGAAGGGGGCUAGCGUUGCUCGGAAUCACUGGGCGUAAAGCGCACGUAGGCGGAUUGUUAAGUCAGGGGUGAAAUCCUGGAGCUCAACUCCAGAACUGCCUUUGAUACUGGCGAUCUCGAGUCCGGGAGAGGUGAGUGGAAUUCCUAGUGUAGAGGUGAAAUGCGCAGAUAUCAAGGAGGAACACCAAUGGCGAAGGCAGCUCGCUGGGACGGUACUGACGCUGAGACGCGAAAGCGUGGGGAGCAAACAGG